GAAGAAGUGACGCGUUAGAUGCAGUUGGACGCUAACACCAGUGUUCGUUAAAAGGCUGGAGAUAUAUGAGGUCAAGAUGAGCGACGAACUAUCAAGAACACAGCCACGCAGUGCUAUUGUGCACAGUGAACAGCGCACACAUAGCCAGGUGCGGCCACCAAGUCCGUGUAUUGAAGAUAACCGAAACAACCCUAUUGCGGAUGGGAACCUGGAGUGUGUGGCAGAUACAGAGAUAAAAUGGAGGCCGAAAGGAAUAAGCAAAUUGGUGAAACUUGGUGAAGUCGGAGCAAAUUACAGAAUAGUCAGUAGAAGGUUCAUGUUGAAAGAUUACACCUUCGAGCUAGAGGUUACUGCCGAGGACCAGGCUGGAAAGCCGCAUCUGGCGGGUGCGCUACGCCUGUGCCCCGGUCGCAAUGACGAUAACCUGGAAUGGCCAUUCAAUACGCCGUACACGAUAACCCUCUGCACUGUAAAAAAAUACUGUGAUUUCUACGGGCGUUUAGUAGUAUCUGACGACGGCGUGUUACCGUAAUCACAAAUACUGCGAAAACUACGUAAAACGGUGGCGCCAUCAUCAUGCGCCGGCCAAAAGCUUCAAUGCGGAGGCAAGGCCAAGCCAAGUACGGGUCAUUGCCGUCAUUCACAACAGCUAGAGUCACUAAAUAAGCGUAGCUUAUUUAGUGACUCUAACAACAGCCGGACGCCGAACAUCGUGCGCGGACGAUCGUUGAGGAAGAAGGACGAAGUGGUCGUUGUAAAUCUCGUGAAUGCACGUAGCCAGGUAAGCACAUUUCUGUUCGCACAUCCUGUUCUUUGCGAUUUGAGCGUGGUGCACCGUAUGCCUUGUUUUUGUUGAACUUAUGGGACACCAGUAAAUCGUGGCGUUUGCUGUGAGGCUUCUCCCUAGUUUCAGAUCUCCGUGUGUCAUGCGUCCUGGCUCGUAGGGUGAUCAAGGCGCUCUUAUUGUAAUGUAUCGUCGCGGAAGGUGCCCUUGUGUUUUUAACACUCUGAUGGGCUACGUUGACCACUGUAGACAUGUACAUGAAGCGAGCAGAAUACCGUGUUGUCAUGCAUUAUGUGUGUACACGGCGGCCAACUAUGCAACACUCAGAUGUCACAUUUUGGGACGUUACAAGAACACAUCAGGACGGUCGCCUCGAAUCGAUUUGCUCUCCAAAACCACGAAAGUAUGUCACGUCCAUUCGUGCUCGCGUCAGUUCACUACGAAUAUAGAGAUAGUGUCACAUAUGAAGCAGCACAUACGAGAGGGUCAUGAUCAGAUGUCCUUAUGAACGCUGCCAGAAGAAGUUCCGUGCCGUCUUCGCGUUUUGUGUGCACCUUCAUAUGUUCUGCCAUUGAAAAAAUAAAACAGUGAGUAUAAUCUCCUUUCUCUUUGCAGUGUUUCGAUGCCAGAGCUGACUGAUGGGUGCACAUGGCUCCUUCGAAUGUUCUUCCUUUGAAAAAAUAAACAUGUUUUGAUGCCAGAGCUGACUGAUGGGUGCACGUGGUUCCUUCGAAUGUUCUUCCUUUGAAAAAAUAAACGAGUUUUGACGCCAGAGCUGACUGAUGGGUGCACAUGGUUCCUUCGAAUGUUCUUCCUUUGAAAAAAUAAACGAGUUUUGACGCCAGAGCUGACUGAUGGGUGCACAUGGUUCCUUCGAAUGUUCUUCCUUUGAAAAAAUAAACGGGUUUUGAUGCCAGAGGUGAUUGGCGCAUUUUCAUCACUAUGUACAUAGAAAAUAAAUCCCGAUGUGACAAACAUCACAAUGUGUUACGCAUGGUCAUUACUUAAACUGCUCUCAUUGCUACGACUGUAUGUAGAAAAAAAAAAAAAAGAUGGGCUCCAGGGAUGGGCACAGCACGAUAAGGGUACACUACAUAUGCCAGUUAAAAUUACUGGCCAAUGCAGUUUUUUUAACGACCACAGCACAGUAAUGCUACACGGCGUAUGCCUGUUAAAAUUACUGGCCAAUGCAGUAUUUUUCACGGGCACAACUUAUACGGGGCCACCGUAAAAAAAACGGCCAAUGUUUGGCAGCCAACUUUCCUUGCAUUUGCCC